UGCACUUAAUCUUCACAGUCACCAUAAGAGAUACUGACUGAUACAUGGGACAUCAAGUAGAGUCAUCAGAUGAUACUGCCUCAGUGGUGAGAGCAAAUUAGCCUUAGACCAAAGGCUAUUCUCCUCUUGCCAAAUGGUACCUAAAAGCACACCUUAAAAGGAUCAAUCUGUUUCCAAGGAACUUAACUAAGUCCCUGAACGAGGCUCAAAUAUAUUCAAAGGAAUACAAAAAAAUCUAGCACCAAACAACAUAAAAUAUACAAUGUCUGGCAUCCAAUCAAUAAUUACCAGGCAUGCAAAGACACAGGCAAAUAAUGACACAAAGCUGACCCAGAAAUGUCACAGAAUUAGUAGACAAGGACUUUAGCUCCAAUAGCUAUUAUUAAAUACCAUCCAUAUAUUCAAACAGAUAUGGAAAAACAUAAACACGAUGUAAAGAGGUGUGAAGAUAUAAAAUAAGACCUCAAUUGAACUUCUAAAGAUGAAAUGUAUAAUAUCUGAGAUGAAAAGUAUACUGGAUGGAAAUAAAAGCAGAUUAGACCCUGUAGAAAACAGGUUUUUGAAGACUUAGCAAUAGAAACUAUCCAAGAUGAAACACAGAGAGGAAAAAAAGACUUAAAAACAAAAAACAAAAAACAAAAACAAAACCUCCAAAACCAAAAUCCAGAAAAUCAGUGAGCUGUGGAAUAACAAGUAGCCUGUAUACCUGUUUGGAGACCAGAAACGUGGGUCUAACAGAUUCACAGGAGAGAUGACAGAAAAAAUAUCUGAAGGAACAAUAAUUUUCAAAUUUGAUGGAAACUAUAAAUCCCUAUGUCGAAGAAGCUCAAUAAACCCUAAGCAGAAGAAAUAUGAAGACAACUACACCAAGGGUACAUCAUAAUCUGCCUUAAUCACUGCUGAACACCAGUGAUAAAGACACAAAUCUUAAGAGCUGCCAGAGGAAAAAAACACAUUGUGUAAAAAGGAAAAAUAGAAGUGAUUUCUCGUCAGAAACAAUGCAACCCUGAAGACAGUGGAGUAAUGUCUUUAAAGUACGAAAAGAUAAAAACUGUCAACCUAGAAUUCAGUGGAGAUAUCUUUCAAAUAGGAAGAUGGAAUAAAGAUGCAUUCAGACAUUCCAAAAUUGAAAGAAUUCAUCAUCAGUAGACCUGCACUAGAAGAACGGCUUUAAAAAGUCCUUCAAGCAGAAGAAAAAUGAUACCAGAUGGAAAUCUCCGUCUACACAAAGGAAUGAAGAGAGCUGGAAAUGGUAAAUAUGUGGGUAGAUAGAAAAGAUAUUUUUCUGAUUUUAAAAUUCUCUUUAAAAGAUACUUGAGGGUUUAGAGCAAAUCUAAUAAUGUAUUGUGGGGCUUAUAGCAUGUGUAGAAAUAAAUCCAUGGUGACAAUAGCACAAAGGCGGAGAGGUGGGGAAUGGGAGGAAGGUGUUUGCGCUGAGUGGUGUGAUAUUACUUGAUGGAGAUAGACUAUAAGUUAAAGAAGCAUUGUGUAAUCCUAAAAGAACCACAAAAAAAUGUAAGUGUAGUAUUAUGAACCAAUAAAGGAGAUAAAAUGAAGAUCACAAGGGGUGUGCUGGCCACCCCCUUGGCACACAGAACAGUUGGGUGGAGUUCCCCAGCCCAGCAGGGUCCCAUAGAGCCUCUGUAGGUGUUUGGGAUAGAAUGAGUACCGUCAGAAAGAAACUUCCUCUCCUGCCACCUUCUGGCAGUAAAUCCAGCCUAUUUUUAACUCAGGCCUCUGCUUAAGUGCUUUUGGCUAAAAGAGAAUUGCUGCUUCUAAGAAUCUCAGGCAGCCACAGUCUCCUCGGCUUCUCUGCUCGCUCCAGCCCUAGAAGGCUCAGGGACUGCUCAGAUGUCCC
rnacentral:lncRNA from 1 species